rnacentral:snoRNA from 1 species
UUGAGUGGAUAUGAUGUCUUAUCUUUUUUCCCCAGCUUAUCGACUAAGCUGAUUAAUGCUGUAAUAAAAAGCCAACUUUUCUGAUCCAUCCAU